rnacentral:siRNA from 1 species
UGCCUCUUCUGUAUCUGCAUGGA